rnacentral:rRNA from 1 species
GAUGAACGCUGGCGGCGCGCCUAACACAUGCAAGUCGAACGAUUAAAGCACCUUCGGGUGUGUAUAAAGUGGCGAACGGCUGAGUAACACGUGGGCAACCUGCCCCUUUCAUUGGGAUAGCCACGGGAAACCGUGGAUAAUACCGAAUACUUCGAGACUUCCGCAUGGAAGACUCGAGAAAGCUCCGGCGGAGAGGGAUGGGCCCGCGGCCUGUUAGCUUGUUGGUGGGGUAACGGCCUACCAAGGCAAUGAUGGGUAGCUGGGUUGAGAGACCGACCAGCCAGAUUGGGACUGAGACACGGCCCAGACUCCUACGGGAGGCAGCAGUGGGGAAUCUUGCACAAUGGGCGAAAGCCUGAUGCAGCGACGCCGCGUGCGGGAUGAAGGCUUUCGGGUUGUAAACCGCUUUCAGCAGGGACGAGGCGAAAGUGACGGUACCUGCAGAAGAAGCCCCGGCUAACUACGUG